GCCCGGAUAGCUCAGUGGUAGAGCAACGCUCUCGUAAAGCGUAGGUCGUGGGUUCAAAUCCCACUUCGGGCUCCA
rnacentral:tRNA from 1 species